UGUUUCUGUUGGUCUUACUUGCUUCUGUGCAUGAUAAAAUAUAAGUUGUAGUCUUUAUCAUAAAUAUCAAUAAAGUUUUCACAGGAGCUUUAACACGUACUUUGUGCUCUUGUGCAGAUGUCGAUUUAAAUUUAAGAAUUUAUGAUUUUUGUUUUUAUUGCUACUUUAAAACACUUUGCAGAUUGCCAAUAUAUUUUUGAACAUUCAGGUCACUGGAAAAAAAAUCCCUGAAACUAAACUUCAAUUUGAGUGAUUAAAUUUACCUGGAGAAUUAACUUAAACUGUUUACCUGAAGAUAGUUUGCCAAGAAACAACAGCUGUUGGGACUUAACUGUCUGGCUUAACACCUUGAUAAACACAGAUUUUGUUUUAGAUUUGUUGCUUAGUAGUUAAGCUUUCUUUAAAAAAUAAUUCACCUGAUCAGGUUUUAUUUCCUCUCUUUAUUCCUCUGAAUGUACUCCUUUUAUUUAUUUUGCACAAGCUCCUGUGAGGAGUUUCAGUUAUGUUAUGAAACACACAGAAGUUUCAAUCAGAGCAAACAAGACCAUCAGCAUAAAAACAGUCUGUUUCCUUCUAGCAAAUGUUGAUGUCUUAACCCUCCUCCUGUGUUAGGGUCUGCACCGACCCGUUUUUGUUUUUAAAUGCUUAAAAGAACCACUUAGAUUGGCUUUUUUGCAUUAAGACUUUUUGACUUCGUCAGGAACCUCUAUUUCAACAAAAUAAAGAUAAAAAUAUUAAAUUGACUAAAUUAUAAAAUGCUCUUAUUCAAAUUAUGGCACUUGUCAUGUUAGGGUCGCGGUCAGAUUAAUAUCUAAUAAUUAGAGCAAAACUGAAAUUAUAAGUGCACUCUCAGGCAUCACACUGACAGUCAGAUCCUCUUCCAAUCAUGUGAGAUUUAGGAAAUUCUCAUUUUGCAAUGUUUUUCUCUGCACAAAAAACAGCUGGCAUGUCCAGACAUGUGCGAUCCAUUCAGUAUAGAUAUCUGUAUGAGGGGUAUACUGACACAGAAAGGCCCAAAGGGCCCACAACAAAAACUAUUAUAAGCAAUAUCUUCAUGGAUAAUGAAACCUAACAAGGUAAACUAGAGAUGAGAACCAAGUUGGAUGAUAGAGAAAUGUUUUUACUGUAAUUUGCAGCUGAUUUAAGACACGGGUUGAAACCGAUCCUUAACAUAGUAGGUGCGUAGUAAAAGCUAACACAGGAGGAAGAGUAAACAAAUUAUGGGGGUAUGUGCCAGUUGUACAGAGUAGCUGCAAGCCCCUGAAGCUGUGUGCAUGUAUCUCUCAGUGUGCUGUCAAGGCUUUAUUUCAUGCCAACAAUAAGCUAAACAAUAAACCAUUCUUCCCUUCUCAGUAUCUUGAACCCCCUCACCAUGCCAGCUUGACAUUUGUUUGUAAAUAUCAUAGUUAAAGACUGUAUUUGAGAUACGGUAAUGUCAAUAAAGACCACAGUAGGGUGUCUAAAAUUGCCAGUCUUCAGGUUGUUUUAAAAUUGUACAUGAAUGUAUCCUGAAAUGCAAAGCCUUAUGGGUGAAUGAAAAUUAACAGUGGAUGAAAAUACAGCACUUAGAAAUUCUGUGAUUGGCUCUGAGGAAAACUCCUCCUUUUGUCUCUCAGGUUACAUCUUCAAGAUAAAUCCAUCUUGCUUAUCCAGAGGUACACGGACCUGAAUCUGAUUUGUUUUGACGCCUGUCUUCCUUGUUUGCUCUGCUCUCUCAGUUUCUGUCAGUCAAAACAGUCCUGAAUCUGUCUUUUUUGUUACUCCUUUUCACAUUGGUUGUAUUUUUCUGUGGACAAAGAAUAUUUGUGUUCAGAUAUGUCUGUGAAAGGAGAAAGCAGACUCGAUUGGUCUGCAUUAUUCCACACUUCUAAGUCCUCCUCCUUGUAUUUGUAUGAUAUUCAUCUACAUAGUUUGGGAUAAGCAUUGUCGGGGUCCUUUCUGUGAAGUUCUUCGCUUGUUUUGUCUGUUUAUCUGUCUCUGCGUCUAUCACCAUUUUGGCAUCUGCUGGAGCACAGGAAGUCUCUGUGGUGCUUUUGAAUGGCCGUUGAGAGACGGGAAUGUGCCCGCCUGACUCAAAUGACUUCAUUAGAGAGCGAUAAUCUCAGGGGGGGUCUCCACCAAAAGACCGCCUGAUAUGGCUGAUUUGCUGGGGCCAUUUAUGCAAAAGGAGAAAUCUGUGUAAUAGUUAAAGUGAGUCAUUGUAAAUGGCAGAAGAGGUGCUUGACGCUGAGUUCAGUGCUGGAAGUUUGGUAGUUGUGGGAGUGCUCUCAGAGAUAGUGAAAGAGAGGAAGAUGAAUGAGGAAGGUUUGGAUUCAGAGCGUAACUGUUGGUUACGGUCCCAGAGAUCUGAAAUGUCACUGUGUGUGUGUUUGUGUGUGUCUGUGUGUUUGGUAGUCUAGCGGCUUUAUCUGCCUGGCAUUUCCUGCUUUCAGAAGCGACUACAGCACCCGGUACCAUCUGAUGACCCUCCAAAAGGCUCGGCCCUGCACAGAAUAUUGAGGGGAACACAUGUAACCUUAAGAGGACUCAGGGAGGCUUGGAUUUGGAGGAUGACACACUGGGUUUUGUCGCCUUUUCCGACACCAAGUUAUUUUGUGGGUGUUAUCUUCAUAGUGUCACAGGGGUUCAGAUGGUAUUCUGCCACUAUGACUUCCCUGAGACUCUUGUGUACUGGUAAUAAACUGAUCUAGAAUCAGACCAGCAGCUGAUUAAUACAGAUGAUAUGACACGUUCACAGCCGUCUGGCACGGACUCAGAGCUGCAACUUUGCCGUCUUUUCCACUUCAGUUCUGCGAGGAUAGAGGUUGACAUUUAGGUGCCAGCAGCCAAACAGAGACGUAAGACUGCAGGCACUCGACGCCCACCACAAUCUCUACUGGGGUUCUCCCGAGAGUGCAUAUUGAAAAUGUCACCAGAGAACCGUAUAUUAACACGGAAACUAUUCAAAAUUUUAGCAUUUUCAAUUUCGUUUUGCAGCUUCAAAUGAAGUUACACAUGGCUAUAAUGUGAAAAAAGUGUGGUUGUUGAAUUGAAAUGACACUUACAUGGAUUAUGUUUAUCAUUUGAAAGGUGCAUAACCAGCAAACAAGGUGAGAGAAACUCAUCUAAGUUUAUCUCAUGAGCCUAUUUUAAAAGUUUUCUCCAUUUCUUCCUGUCACACCAUUUAAGCCUCAUCUGACAGUAGUAUUUUUUUCUUCCCAUUACUGGCAUUUCCUUUUUAUAAUCAAGCCCCUGCUUUGACACUCUUCAUUUUCAGCUCCUUGCUGUAUAAUAUAUGUGCUCUUAAAUGUAUAGAUAACAAUGUAUGAAAGGUGAGGAGAUCACUUAUGGCUUUAAAAGAGGAUCUAUCUUUUAUACAUUUAAUGGAGAGCAUUUAAAAUUCUCUCUGAAUAUAAAUGAAUGAGUAAGUGUGUGUAUAUGUGUGUAAAUGUGGUAAUUGGGAGGCAGAGUGACGGUGGGGCACACACAGGAGUAACCCUUGUCGUACCAAGUGUAACCCAUGGAUAGAGCUGAACUUAUUAGUGGAGCUACCUUUCCUCUUCCUUCUCGUUCGCUGAAAAGAGCAACAGCGAAGCAACGAGACAGAGAGCACUGUGUGCACCUGUCUGCACAUUUUUCACUGCACUCUCAGACUUACUUCCAUACAGUGGAGGUGAACUAAUGAAUUUUUGGACCUCCAAAAAUGGCCUUCCCAGCUAAUGAAACAUCUGACAAAGAGUGGAAAACAUGAACUUUCUCAUCUAAUCAUAAGUAAGAAACGGUGUAUUUAUUCUUAAGGCAGUGUGUUGCAUAAUUAAAGAGAUGAUGUAUAGUGAGGAGUUGGUGACGCAAUUAAAAUACUGACAGGUAAGCAGGACCCCAAUGUGAGUUUCCUUUUAGGGAUCAAUAAAGUUCUUCUUAUCUUAUCUUAUGUGAAGAAAAGCAGUUACCAACUAAGAUAUGAACAAAUUGAUCAAAUAUUGAUCUCAAGUUGGUUUUAUUGAUGAAAAACGGACUCUUUCCUCUCCCAUUGCCAGUAACGCUUCAAUAGUAGCACAUUUUUACCAGCAUCCCACUGGGGCAAACAAACAUUGAAUUCAGCGUUUCAAUUCUUGGUCAAUCUAAAACACAGGCAUGCUUAUUUGUCAUCAUUUACAUUGGAAUGGAUAUUUCCAGUAAAGCUAACUGAGCAGGAUUUCAACAGACUCUUCUGUCCUUAUUCAGCUUUCCUUCUCAGGCUUUGUUUUUGACAUGCUUUUAAACAUAAACUACAUGGUGUCAGGAUUUUUAGCAUUGUUGCAAUGAUCAUAACUGCUUAUGGUUUAAGUGACUUUCCAACAGGUCAGGAUCUUGCUCCACUUUUCCCUCUCAGAGAUGGUUAGGGUCGAUUAGCUCCUCAGGCUGCUUUUACAUCUUUUCCCGGUAACUUUCAUUACUUCUCAAGGCCAGCUUGUGUAAAAGCAUGAAAAAAAACAUUUUUUUGUGAUGUUUUUAUCAUAAAUGAAUUGGGCCCUCCUAGGGCUGGGCAAUAAAAUGAUCACGAUAAAUAUCUAAAAUAAUUUCCCUCAGUAUCAAUAUAAAAAAUGGUCAAUAUGCUUACAGCAACAAGUGUAACAUCAUUGAGCCCCGAUCGAAUGACCUAGACAUCAUGCUGCCCAAAAUUAUAAAUCUUUUAAAAGAAAAAAAGAGAGGAAAGAAAAAGAAAUACAGCAAAAUGAGGAGAGGCAGCUGCUGACUGCUUUCUUUCCCAAAGGUGAACCC
rnacentral:lncRNA from 1 species